rnacentral:rRNA from 1 species
CAGCCGCCACGGUAAUACGUAGGGUGCAAGCGUUAUCCGGAAUUAUUGGGCGUAAAGAGCUCGUAGGCGGUUUGUCGCGUCUGCUGUGAAAACUGGAGGCUCAACCUCCAGCCUGCAGUGGGUACGGGCAGACUAGAGUGCGGUAGGGGAGAUUGGAAUUCCUGGUGUAGCGGUGGAAUGCGCAGAUAUUAGGAGGAACACCGAUGGCGAAGGCAGAUCUCUGGGCCGUAACUGACGCUGAGGAGCGAAAGCAUGGGGAGCGAACAGGAUUAGAUACCCGGGUAGUCCCUGUCUCUUAUCA